AACUUGCCUAUCGAAGGGAUCCACUCAAAUUUGACAGGCAAACAAGAUAAAGUAACAAUACAUACAAACAAAACGUCAAACAUUUGCCAAAGUGACCCAGCAAGCAAAAAACCAAUACAAAAAUACGAAUACAACAAAUUCGGUUCAAGGCCAUCGAAAUGAAGCCAGCAGCCCAAACAAAAAAAAACGACGUCGGCGGUUUUGGUUUGGUGAAAAAUUAGACGUAUUCGGCAUUUCAAUUGUAGACACAAUUUUUUGUUGGCUAGAGAUGUCAUCGUGUCACGAAAUAUGCCACUUCUUACAGACUAAGAGCGAUAUUAGGAUCGACUAAAAAUGAAAAGUCGAUUGAGGAAUAGGACGAAAAGAAAAGAAACACGCAAAAGGGAGCACACGGCGCUGCAUGUGCGCGAAAGAGAGAGAACGAGGGCAAGCGCAUGACGACGUACACACUCACACACACAAAGGCUUACCGAAGAAGGAAGAGACGGAGGUGAAGAACAAAUAAGUCUCAGUAUGUACAACAAUAUAACAAAAUCAAAGCGAUGAGCAAAACUUAAUGCAUACACAAUUUGAGCGAUUUGCAUGCCCUGGCCACCGAGUAAUCCGAUUUCUUUCAAUUUCGGUCCAACGCAGCGUGAUAAUAUUCGAAAUUAUAUAAACAGCAGCACCUUUUCAAUUUGUAUGUACCAGUGGCCCCGAGUAUAUAGAAAAUACAGCCGUUUGCAUUAUUUUACUUUUCAGCUGUGCACGCACUCAAAUCCAACACACGAAUGGAACAGAAGCAGCAACGGCAGAAAGUCAGCGCACGGCGAAAAAUGGCGACUGAGAGCCAAUGAGUGAAAGAGAGUAAAAGCGCCACUUGAGUGUAAGAGAGCACAACUGCUCUCAAGCCAAUAUUGAUAUAGGCAGUGCGCUUAGGAAUGCUACCUGGACACUGGGAACAAAUCACUCAAACUCCUCGAAAACAGGUCACUCAACCCCCGAGAAUGAGGUCAACAAACCGCUCUCCCUCUCUCUUGGAGGCUUUGUCUUAGCCCAUCACCUUACAUGUGUGUCAUUGUGCUAUCCUAACUGAUUUAAUCUCAAGAAUAUACAAGUGCCUCUUUCCCACUAUUCGCCAUCUCCCCUUUAUUCCUCUCUUUAUUGUGGUAUACCUGUGUCUCGUCUCGGCUUUCAUCACCCCCCUGCGAUCAGCUGAUCGUGCGCAUGAGAACGGAGAGGGGAGAAAAUGUAUGAGGUAGUUACAAUUACGAUUCUAAUAGGGUCGCUCGCUUUACCAAAAGCGCUCAGCUGACCUCCUCGAACCAAAUAUGUAGGUAUGUACAUGUAUACAUGUUAUAUGUGUACGAAAAACGAAGCAAAGAGGAAAAUCUCAAACCCGAAUAAAAAAAACCUUAUAGGCGGAUUUUUGUGCGAUAAUAUAAUGCAAUAAAUAUUUAAUAUUUAAUAUGAGGAUUGUUUUAUUCUAAAAGUGGCAAAUCGAACAAUUUUAACCAAUCAUUAUCA